rnacentral:rRNA from 1 species
AGUGAACGCUGGCGGUAGGCCUAACACAUGCAAGUCGAACGGCAGCACAGUAAGAGCUUGCUCUUACGGGUGGCGAGUGGCGGACGGGUGAGGAAUACAUCGGAAUCUACUUUUUCGUGGGGGAUAACGUAGGGAAACUUACGCUAAUACCGCAUACGACCUACGGGUGAAAGCAGGGGAUCUUCGGACCUUGCGCGAUUGAAUGAGCCGAUGUCGGAUUAGCUAGUUGGCGGGGUAAAGGCCCACCAAGGCGACGAUCCGUAGCUGGUCUGAGAGGAUGAUCAGCCACACUGGAACUGAGACACGGUCCAGACUCCUACGGGAGGCAGCAGUGGGGAAUAUUGGACAAUGGGCGCAAGCCUGAUCCAACCAUACCGCGUGGGUGAAGAAGGCCUUCGGGUUGUAAAGCCCUUUUGUUGGGAAAGAAGAGCAGCAGGUUAAUACCCCGCUGUUCUGACGGUACCCAAAGAAUAAGCACCGGCUAACUUCGUG